rnacentral:rRNA from 1 species
CCGUGCGAAGGUAGCGCAAUCACUUGUCUCUUAAAUGGGGACCUGUAUGAAUGGCAUAACGAGGGCUUGACUGUCUCCUCUUUCAAGUCAAUGAAAUUGAUCUCCCCGUGCAGAAGCGGGGAUAAGCACAUAAGACAGAAGACCCUAUGGAGCUUCAGACACUUAAGCAGACCAGCAUUAAUACCCUGCAUAUAUGGCACGAAUAAACUGAUCCCUGCCCUAAUGUCUUUGGUUGGGGCGACCGCGGAGAAACACAAAACCCCCGCAAGGACCGAAUGUACUACAUUCACAACAAGAGCGACAGCUCUAAUUUACAGAACUUCUGACCAAUUAGAUCCGGCAAUGCCGAUUAAUGAACCGAGUUACCCUAGGAUAACAGCGCAAUCUCCUCUUAGAGCCCAUAUCGCCAGGAAGUUUACGAACCUCAUGUUGAUCAGACAUCCUAAUGGUGCAGCGCUAUUAAAGGUUCGUU